CCUACCCGCUGAAUUUAAGCAUAUCAAUAAGCGGAGGAAAAGAAACCAACAGGGAUUACCUCAGUAACGGCGAGUGAAGCGGUAACAGCUCAAAUUUGAAAUCUGGCUCCUUUGGGGCCCGAGUUGUAAUUUGUAGAAGAUGCUUUGGGUGUGGGCCUGGCCUAAGUUCCUUGGAACAGGACGUCGUAGAGGGUGAGAAUCCCGUAUGCGGCUGGCGCCCGCGCCCAUGUAAAGCUCUUUCGACGAGUCGAGUUGUUUGGGAAUGCAGCUCUAAAUGGGUGGUAAAUUUCAUCUAAAGCUAAAUAUUGGCCAGAGACCGAUAGCGCACAAGUAGAGUGAUCGAAAGAUGAAAAGCACUUUGGAAAGAGAGUUAAACAGUACGUGAAAUUGUUGAAAGGGAAGCGCUGGCAACCAGACUUGGGCGCUGUUGAUCCGUUAGGGUUCUCCCUGGGGUACUCAGCAGUGCGCAGGCCAGCAUCGGUUUGGGGGGUUGGAGAAAGGCUGGUGGAAUGUGGCUGCCUUCGGGCAGUGUUAUAGCCACCGGUGGCAUGCAGCCUCCCCGGACCGAGGACCGCGCUUCGGCUAGGAUGCUGGCGUAAUGGUUGUCAGCGACCCGUCUUGAAAGAGGGACCAAGGA
rnacentral:rRNA from 1 species